UACGUAGGGUGCGAGCGUUGUCCGGAAUUACUGGGCGUAAAGAGCUUGUAGGUGGUUUGUCGCGUUGGUCGUGAAAUCUCACGGCUUAACUGUGAGCGUGCGGGCGAUACGGGCAGACUAGAGUACUGCAGGGGAGACUGGAAUUCCUGGUGUAGCGGUGGAAUGCGCAGAUAUAAGGAGGAACACCGGUGGCGAAGGCGGGUCUCUGGGCAGUAACUGACGCUGAGAAGCGAAAGCGUGGGGAGCGAACAGG
rnacentral:rRNA from 1 species